UACGUAGGGUGCGAGCGUUGUCCGGAAUUAUUGGGCGUAAAGAGCUCGUAGGCGGUCUGUCGCGUCGGUCGUGAAAACUUGGGGCUUAACCCUGAGCUUGCGGUCGAUACGGGCAUGACUGGAGUUCGGUAGGGGAGACUGGAAUUCCUGGUGUAGCGGUGAAAUGCGCAGAUAUCAGGAGGAACACCAAUUGCGAAGGCAGCUCGCUGGGACGUAACUGACGCUGAGACGCGAAAGCGUGGGGAGCAAACAGG
rnacentral:rRNA from 1 species